ACCCAGUCCUGAGUUCAGAACAGACGGCUGUUCUCUGCCCUCUGGAAGUAACUCUGCACCACACCCAGCUCCCCCUCUGCCUUUGUGUCCUUCCUCCUAUGGUUUUAAUUGCUGUAAAUGCCCUUUUUGCUUCUUCUCCAGGAUGCUGUGCUCAAAAUUCACCAGGAUUCCAGCUUCAUCUUUAUGUAGGAUCGUCUUCUCAAACAAACAUCAACGUCUGCUCUCUCUAUCUGAUAUUUUCUAACAUUUUGUUCCACACCAAGAUUUUCAUUUGACUACUUGUGCACCUGCCUGUCGGCCCCACCAGACUGCAAGCACAGAAUCUGGAACACAUGUUUUACUUGCUGAUGAAUUGAAGGUGCCUGGGAUUCCAGAGGCUCCAGAUAAAUUCUAGUCAGAUUAAAUCUAGUUCCUAGGAGGUUCACAAUACAAUUUUAAUAUCAUAUCAUUUAAAGUUGGAAGGGGUCUUAGAGAUUCUGUGAUCCAAGAUGGGAAAUAGGUUUUACUUUAAGGCUAGUCCCAAUCCAAUCAUAGGGACUGCCCGACCAGCAUAGUUAGACAGAGGCAAGAUCCUGCUUUAGCUGGAAAGAGAGCUGCACUUGUUUUGCGAAGUUGGCCAGAAGUGAUAGAGGAGGAGGUAGCAAAGCGUGUGUCUCCUCUGCCAUCGAAGAUUCAGUUCACUCCUUCCCAGUUUAUUUUAAAGCCUGCAUGCUAUGGUGGGUGAGGAGAAUUUGGACUGUCACUCCGAAUUUGAAUGCUCUGCCAAACCUCAUCCUCCAAGAACUUCGAUUUCACGGUGUGUGAGAUGAGCACACCCGUUCUGCCUCUUCCCUCCUCCCCAGCUCCUUGUGGUCCUGAAAGUAUUUUACAAAACCAUGAAGCAGUGUAUCAAUGCAUGGUGAUCCCAUCCCAUAGGGCUCUUCCUCAGCAACCUCAGAAAGAGAGAAUUCAAUCCUAAAAAUAUGAUAUCCUAUGAUGGAAGCCGGCCCCUUCUGGAUCUCCCCAGUCCCAUGCUCUCCCGAGGCUUCCUUCUAUUCCUGCAGUAAACCUCUUCCCAGCUUUCGGCCUUUGCUCCUGCAGCUUAGCAAUGCCCCCUGUGCCCAAAACUUCCACAAACUCAAGGGAAUCCUGAUCUAGCUCUGAAUAAAGAAGUUAAUGAAAACUGAACUCAUCCAGUUUCCAGAGACACAGGCCAGAGGAAAAAAAAAAAAAAAAAAAUAUAUAUAUAUAUAUAUAUAUUUUUUAAAUGAUGAAUAUGAGCCAGUAAUUGAGAUUACUUAUUAGUGUCUGGUCCCACACACCCAGCUCUUCCCUGAGCUGCUCAACCCUUCUUCCCACACUCAUUCCCUACACACUUUCCUUAAAGCUCCAUUAAGCAGGUCACCAUGUCCCCACCUGUUCCCACACCAGCCCUCCUCCACCUCCUCUCUCUCUCUUCUCCAUAGCACUUACCACUGUAUGGAAGUGUUACAGCUAUGUACCUGCUAAAUGUUUACCACUUAUCUUCAUCUUCUAGAACUCAAGCACCACGAGGGAAAACACGCUGUUCCUCCUGUGUGCUGCUGUUUCCCCAUGGCUAGGAGUGAUUACGAAAGGCGCUCGAUACGAACACAUUUGCUAAAUGA
rnacentral:lncRNA from 1 species